CGGCGGACGGGUGAGUAACACGUGGGUAACCUAUCUAUAAGACUGGGACAACUUCGGGAAACCGGAGCUAAUACCGGAUAAGAUAUCGAACCGCAUGGUUCGAUAGUGAAAGAUGGUUUUGCUAUCACUUAUAGAUGGACCCGCGCCGUAUUAGCUAGUUGGUGAGGUAACGGCUCACCAAGGCAACGAUACGUAGCCGACCUGAGAGGGUGAUCGGCCACACUGGAACUGAGACACGGUCCAGACUCCUACGGGAGGCAGCAGAG
rnacentral:rRNA from 1 species